UCAGCAAAAAGAGGAUCCAAAUUUUUUUACAAGAAAAAAUAUGAUGAGGAGGACAGGGUUGAGAAUAUUUUCUGGGUCGAUGGUGUAGCAAGGAAGGCCUAUGUGGAAUCUUAUCAUGAUUGCAUCUCCUUUGACACAACAUAUAUGACUAACAUGUACAACAUGUCCUUUGCACCAUUCAUUCGGAUUAACAGACAUGGGCAGUCAUUCAUGUUAGGAUGUGAUUUUGUUAGGCAAGAGUUGGCGUCAAGCUUUGUUUGGCUAUUCCAGACCUUCCUUGAGGCAAUGCAUAAUGUAGCACCCACCAACAUCAUAACCGACCAAUACAUCGCAAUGGCACAGUCAAUUAAAAAGAUCUUCCCUACAAGUGUGCAACGCUGUUAUCGCUGGCAUAUUAUGAAAAAAGCACAAGAGAAGCUUGGAGCAUUGUUGGGACGAAACCCUAGCUUGUACAAAGAUUUCAACAAUUGUGUUGACUUUAGCUUGAUGCUAGAGGAAUUUGAGGCAGGGUGGUUGCUACCUCUUGAGCUUGCGUUGGUUUUUCCCUUGAAGAGGAAAGGGUGA
rnacentral:rRNA from 1 species